ensembl:snoRNA
CCCCGCCUUUACUCUUUGCCAACUGGACUUAUGUCUUUAUUAGUCAUUCAAGUGGGGCAAAGGAAAUAUCCUUUUGUAACUCAGGCAAACUGUCAUGUAACCUGUUGAGGAAACAAAU